GUGUCAGCCGCCGCGGUAAUACAGAGGGUGCAAACGUUGCUCGGAAUUAUUGGGCGUAAAGCGCGUGUAGGCGGCUUGUUAAGUUGGUCGUGAAAGCCCAUGGCUCAACCAUGGAAGUGCAACCAAAACUGGCAAGCUUGAGUUCUGAAGAGGAUGGCGGAAUUCCCAGUGUAGAGGUGAAAUUCGUAGAUAUUGGGAGGAACAUCGGUGGCGAAGGCGGCCAUCUGGGAAGAUACUGACGCUGAGACGCGAAAGCGUGGGUAGCAAACAGGAUUAGAAACCCCCGUAGUCC
rnacentral:rRNA from 1 species